UUAUUUGGAAAAACGAUGCAACUGUCAA
rnacentral:piRNA from 1 species